GGAAUCUUGCGCAAUGGGCGAAAGCCUGACGCAGCGACGCCGCGUGGGGGAGGAAGGUUUUCGGAUCGUAAACCCCUGUUGCCCGGGACGAAUCCCUUGCUUUGGCAAGGUUGACGGUACCGGGGGAGGAAGCACCGGCUAACUCCGUUCCAGCAGCCGCGGUAAUACGGAGGGUGCGAGCGUUGUCCGGAAUCACUGGGCGUAAAGGGCGCGUAGGUGGCACGGCAAGCGUGUGGUGAAAGCUCGGGGCUCAACCCCGAGUCGGCCAUGCGAACUGCCGAGCUCGAGCACUGUAGAGGCAGACGGAAUUCCGGGUGUAGCGGUGGAAUGCGUAGAGAUCCGGAAGAACACCGGUGGCGAAGGCGGUCUGCUGGGCAGUUGCUGACACUGAGGCGCGACAGCGUGGGGAGCAAAC
rnacentral:rRNA from 1 species